rnacentral:lncRNA from 1 species
GUUAGAAUCCAUCAUAUCCUUAUUGGUUGUGUCAUAUUGGACGACGAAGUCAACAACUGGAGAACAUCUGCAUUCUUAAAAGAAAAGUUACAAAGUUAAAAAAGUAAUUAUAAUUCAACAUGCAACUAUUUCAUUUAAAUAACAUAUUUGCAAGGAAUCACUAGCCCAGUAGUCAACACUUCUGUGUUAACCUGCGUUAUCAUUGAUAUGGUCAUAAUUAUCAAUUAAUUGUUGAUAAAAGUUUAAAUUUUUAAAAAAGACAACUUAAAGUCUUUCUACCUUAGGAAUAGAUUGCCUUAGCUGUAUUUGGCAAAAACGUUUAGGAUUUUUUGGUCCUCAAUGCCCUUCAACUUUGUACUUUAUCUGGCCUGUUAAACAUUUCUGUGCGAGCGUCACUGAUGAGUCGUUUGUAGACGAAACGCGCGUCCUGGGUAAAUAAAAAUUUUAAUCCUGUAAUUAUGAUGAGUUUAUUUUACGAAUUUGACCUUCCGGAUUUGUAAUACAUAAGCAACACAACGGGUGACACAUGUGGAGAAGGAUCUCCUUACCCUUCCAGAGCACCUGAGAUCACACCCAGUUGUUGUGGGCUCGUGUUUGCUAGUCUUUAGUUUCUACGUUUUGUCUUCUGUACUAUUAUUUGUCUGUUUGUCAUUUUAUUUUUAGCCAUGGCGUUGUCAGUUUAUUUUUCAAUCUAUGAGUUUGACUGUCUCUCUGGUAUCUUUCCUCAUCUUUUACAUUCAUUUUACAUGCAUCGUCAAGCCUGCCUAUAUCUUGACUAACAUAUCUCUAAAUCAAAAAAAAAUAUAAGACUUUGACACUUAACAGAUAUUUCAGGUAUUCAAUUAGAAAUUUCGUCAUUUUACAUGUUUGUAGAAAUAUGCCAGCAAUGCCUAAAGUUUAAGUACAGUUACAACUAUUAUUUUUUCAUUUGAUGACCUUUGAAAACAUUUGUCUCAUACGAUCACGGACACAUUUCAAUUAUUAUAGCGGCAGGUCCGUCUUUUUCAUCGAUUAUAAUUCAUUGUAAAUUAAGGUGGAUAUCUACCUCGUGCAUAAAUCUGCUGGUUCAUCAGUGCUUCUUCCGUUGAAUAAUGCUUUGAAUUUCCAAACGUUGUGGUCAUUUUCGUUUUAUACGUUGUGGUUAAUAGACAUCUGAAUGGUGAUAGUACCUUUAGCAUCUGUAUUUUUUUAAACAAAACUGAUUUGUUUAAUUGAUAUCAAUAAGUGGUUCAAAUAUGAAAAUAUGUCAACAGUUCAUUGUGGUACAAUAGUUAUGUUAUCAUUUUAUUCGUGAUUAAUUCAAGUUUGACAAUUUUGCUAUUGACACUUAUCGACCGCGAUUUAUUAAUCCAUUUGUUGUAUUCUAAAAGGAAAAAGAUUAUACAAGCGUUGCCACUUGGAAAGCGACAUGGAAAUGAUUCCGAGAACUUAAACAUAUCCGAAGUUUGUUUUUAAGUUGACUUAACUUCCCGCUGUCCCCGUUUAUUUUCCGUGCAACAAUUUUUUUACUGAUAUUUGCAUAUUUUACAAGUUUCCUCUAUGUAUAAUGCUUUUAUCUACAUUGUAUAGUAUUUACUUGAUAACUUUUGCUUCUUUAUACUGUUAUAACCGAAUUUUGUAGGCUAACAUCCAAAGCACACUCUGUACAUGAAUGUCGUAUUCUUUAUCGAAUAAAUCCUGACGCUUAAUAUCAUCAAAAUUUGAGUAAACCAGUUCAGGAGAAAAAGUCUUUAAUUUUAGCCAAACGUUUGUUUAUUUGGAACUUUGACAAAUAAAUUAAUCAAAUUCAUUACAAUUUUUAAACUUGACUAGUUUUACCAUGUCAUUACUUUCAUGAAUCUUUUUGUGAUUAUAUCGACUGUGCAGUUUAAUAUGAGUUGACAUGUGAAAGAAAUAAUUGAUAACGUAAACACAAAUUACCAACAAGUAUGAAAUUUGAUGUUAAUCAAUCAGUGCCACUUGAGACCUGCAAACGAUUUUUCAAACGUUGAAAUUAUGCCAGAGCUGAUGGAGUGAAAACAGUGCACACCGCCAAAUAGCGAAGAGGAUAUCUAUAACAAACAAAUAUCAACCGUUAAAAAAAGGUAAAAUUAGAUACCUAAAAUAUAUGUGGUUUUAGUGUAUAUUGUCAGUUAAAACUUGAAGUUUCAUAUGUCAUAAUAAAUUGCAUUUGAAGAGGAUUUCAGGUCUUAUAAUUUGUAAUAUAACAUUUCUUGAAGUGCAUUUACCCAGAGAGCUAUUCGGAUAACAAGCUGUAUCUACGAUGAUUACAAGAAAAAGAAUGAGAAGAAAAGAAAAGAAAAUGAGAAACAAAAAAGAAAAGUUAAAAAAUUACAAGAUCAAGAUCACAAUUCAGAAAACGAAGAAGAAAAAGAAUUGGGUGAACAUAUCAACCAUGCUGGACGGCUAUUGUUAAAUCACGGA